UACAGAGACUGCAAGCGUUAUUCGGAUUCACUGGGCGUAAAGGGUGCGCAGGCGGCCGUGUGUGUGAGGCGUGAAAGCCCGGGGCUCAACCCCGGAAUUGCACCUCAAACUACAUGGCUAGAGCAUUGGAGAGGGUAGCGGAAUUCACGGUGUAGCAGUGAAAUGCGUAGAUAUCGUGAGGAACACCAGAGGCGAAGGCGGCUACCUGGACCAUUACUGACGCUGAGGAGCGAAAGCCAGGGGAGCAAACGGG
rnacentral:rRNA from 1 species